rnacentral:rRNA from 1 species
UACGUAGGGUGCAAGCGUUGUCCGGAAUUAUUGGGCGUAAAGAGCUCGUAGGCGGUCUGUCGCGUCUGCUGUGAAAUCUCAGGGCUUAACCCUGAGCUUGCAGUGGGUACGGGCAGACUAGAGUGCGGUAGGGGAGACUGGAAUUCCUGGUGUAGCGGUGAAAUGCGCAGAUAUCAGGAGGAACACCGAUGGCGAAGGCAGGUCACUGGGCCUCAACUGACGCUGAGGAGCGAAAGCAUGGGGAGCGAACAGG